AGACAGCUUCGGUUGCCGUGUGAUGAUCCUAAUUAAAUUAUGUAACGGCACUGAACUAGCUAAGCUGCCCAUGAAUGUCACAGCUGUCAAAAAUCUGUACACAAGAAGAUAAAAAAUGAAAUUAAUAAAAGGCAGAUCAACAUUUCGUUUGUUUGGAACACUUUUUUUGGUACAUCUGCAUGUUCUAAAAGGCCAACGGAAAUGUAAGUUGACUAGUUGUAUUUGGGCUGGCACCAGGGCCUGUCUCAGUAUUUAAACACCAAAAUAAUCAAUGGAAUUAAUGGCCAAGAGGAACAGGGUCUGAGGAUUUUUCUAGCCAUUUCCGCUGUCCAUGCGCUUGGCUUGCUUGGGUGCCACAAACGAGAUUCUGACAGGUUGUCACUGCCCUGACCUGAAACUCAAGUUUGUGAGGUAGACUUUCUGGACAGAGCCUCUGGUAAACAAAUUAGAUAUAAACCGAAGGCGAGGGCACCAAGGUCACGGUGGUGAGGGAACAUCAAGUGACAGGCGCUGGGACCCCCGAUGCAUGGCUUGCAGAGCAGAUGUUCGCAAGGAUGCAGUGAUUAUUGAACUGGUAAUAAAAAAGCAUCAGCUUACA
rnacentral:lncRNA from 1 species